rnacentral:rRNA from 1 species
CCUACGGGUGGCAGCAGUGAGGAAUAUUGGUCAAUGGGCGGAAGCCUGAACCAGCCAAGUAGCGUGCAGGAUGACGGCCCUACGGGUUGUAAACUGUUUUUAUACGGAAAUAACGCGCCUUACGUGUAGGGCUUUCCAUGUACCGUAUGAAUAAGGACCGGCUAAUUCCGUUCUAGCAGCCGCGGUAAUACGGUGGAUACAAGCGUUAUCCGGAUUUAUUGGGGUGAAGGGGUGCGUAGGCUGUGAGGUAAGUCAGCGGUGAAAUGCCCCCGCUCAACGGGGGGAAGUGCCAGUGAUACUGGCUUGCUGGAAUGCGGAUGCGGUGGGAGGAAUGUGUGGUGUAGCGGUGAAAUGCAUAGAUAUCACACAGAACACCGAUUGCGAAGGCAUCUCACGAAUCCGCGAUUGACGCUGAUGCACGAAAGCGUGGGUAUCAAACAGGAUUAGAGACCCCAGUAGUC